rnacentral:rRNA from 1 species
UACGUAGGGUGCAAGCGUUAAUCGGAAUUACUGGGCGUAAAGCGUGCGUAGGUGGUUUGUUAAGUCUGUUGUGAAAGCCCCGGGCUCAACCUGGGAAUGGCAAUGGAUACUGGCAAGCUAGAGUGCGGUAGAGGGUAGUGGAAUUCCCGGUGUAGCGGUGAAAUGCGUAGAGAUCGGGAGGAACACCAGUGGCGAAGGCGGCUACCUGGACCAGCACUGACACUGAGGCACGAAGCGUGGGGAGCA